rnacentral:rRNA from 1 species
UACGUAGGGUGCGAGCGUUAAUCGGAAUUACUGGGCGUAAAGCGUGCGCAGGCGGUUUGCUAAGACCGAUGUGAAAUCCCCGGGCUUAACCUGGGAACUGCAUUGGUGACUGGCAGGCUAGAGUAUGGCAGAGGGGGGGUAGAAUUCCACGUGUAGCAGUGAAAUGCGUAGAGAUUGGAAAAGAACACCGAUGGCGAAGGCACUUUACUGGGCUAUUACUAACACUCAGAGACGAAAGCUAGGGUAGCAAAUGGG